CCUAUAAAUGUUGCAAGACUACUCAGCCAUCCAGGGGGUCUGAGAGGGGCAAAACAAUCCUGGUCGCUCGUUUCUACUGCUACAGUGAAUUUUACAUCCCACUUUCUACCUCAGCCGUUAGAUUCAGUAAUUUCUUUCUCACCCUUCCCUGCUCAUUCUGAGUUCGUGACGCCUGGGCCCGUGCGUGCUUGGGGCCACUCGUCUGGGACUGCGAGCGUUCCUGCUCGCGUCCGCGAGAAACCCAAAAACGGUGAAACCCUAGCCAUCUGAGAGCCUCUCUCUCCUCUCCAAUCCCGUGCCCACUCUUCUCCCCGAAUCCCCGCUCCUCUCCUCCUCCCGAAUCCGCCGCCUUCUCUCGCUUUCUCUCCCGCUGUGCUGGUCGUGGACGGUGAGCGGCGGGCGCGGGCGGCUUCCCGGAGGAGUCUAGCGGCGCGGGCGGCGAGGCGAGGAGACUGGCUCAGAGGUCGAGCUCGCGCCGUCUCACCCUCCCGGCCGCAUAUGCGGGCACAACGGCAGCGGCUGCCUCAGGAGAGGAGGAUGCGGCGGCGGUCCUUGGUGCGGGACAUCCGCUCGAACUGGCGCGGGGAGACUGGAUGAACCGACGGCGGCGAGGCUCGAGAUCCCCCGCCUCAUCCUUCCCUGCCUCUGCACCCGACGAUGACGGCCCAGCCAUGUUAUUUGGGCGAGGAGGCAACAGAUCGGGAGAUCUAUCCUUCCCUGGUGCUUGCGACGGCGGCGGCAACCGGCGGUAACAGCCAGCAGGGCCCUGACAACCAGGUACAGCGCUCCUUUCUUUUACGAGCACAAACUGCGCCGCGUGACACACCCAGGUACUGAUCUUCAACCAAAGGGCAGCGGUAACCGGCGACCGGCGGCCAGCGGCGACCGGCGACCACAACCAGACUACAAAAAUUCAGCAUCUUGCUUCCUUGCCGUCCACACUUCCAUGGUGCCACCUCGACCUCACGGAUCUUGCCAAUGGCUAUGACGCCAAGGUCCUGCAUGUGAACUGUUUGAUGAAAUUCGUCUGUGCCAAUUCUUUAUUGCUGCUCAUGAAGCAGCUGCCGGCCAAGCAGAGAUAUUUAUAAUGUGACGGACUGCUGCCGGAAGAAAAAGAAGACAACGGCAUCGCUGCCACAUGGGAUCUCCUUCUAUGACGCUGUCGUGCUGGGUUUUGUUAGGUCUGUGCUCAGCGCUGUUCAUUUUCUCUAAAAAGACUUUGAGACACAUCUUGUUGAAUUUGUAUAGCUUUCAGCUGGGAAGGACACCAACAUGGUUAUAGACUUAUAGCUGUUGCUCUUGGACUUGGGAUAUGAAUCGUUGGGUGUUAAAAGCACUUCAUAGCAGCUUGGUCAUACCAUGGAUUCUUUGGAAGCUCUUUUCAGAAGCAGAGAGAGUGUACUACACUGGAGGAUUAAAAGAUCUUCGCAAUAUUUGCUUUCUCAAUGUUAACCUGUAGGUAUCUCCUACUCUUCAAUGAAUCUGUAUUAUGGUGUUCUUUAUGUGUAGUAUCAUCAUCGGGUUUGAGUUCAUACUAAAUCAGAUAAUGUUUCCAGGCACCGCCAGCUGCAGCCAUUUUGUGUCAUCUUUAAAUGAUUUGCUUGGAAGUGAUUGCUUGCUAGAAUAGUCUGAAAAUGCCUCUUAUCUUUGCUUAGACCAUGUGGCUCGGUUCAGAUUUUUAUUUUCUGUGCAAUAAUCACUUCCUUUUUCCAUUUUGGAGUCCUUAUAAUGUGCGGAGGAAAUUAUUCAGCAGCAAUGCAGUUGGGUAGCAUAGAAAGACUAUUAAGUAUGCUCGUGUUAAUAUUCUAAUCGCUGUCAGCGAAGUGUUCCCUUCAAAUCUAUGAGGUCCCAAAACUGAUGUGUUGUGUUGGUAUAUUUCCCCCUUCUCAUCCCAUGUACCUGUUCAGAUUAUUGAAUUGCAUACACGGGAGCAGUUCAAAAGUUUGCAUUGUUGAUUCACAGUGUUGGUGCUGAUGCAUCUUUUCUAGGAUGUAUCGGUUCUAAUGCAUGUAUGAAAAAUUCAUUCCCCUUUCUCGCGUUGUGCAUGUCAAUUCGGUACUGGUAGAACUUCUUAUCUUGCUCUUUAUUAUUAUUCUUAUUCUUGAUAUAUAGUUACUGAAGUUCAGUUUUAUGAAUUUAUGAAUGUAUACGAGAAAUUAGGUUUCCUAUCUUUUUCUACUUUACUCGCUUCGAUGACUGGUUUACCUGCUAGAGCAGCAUCCCAUUGUUCAGUAGAAGGUGAAGUAAGGAAGACAUUGGUCAGGUUCUUAAUUCAUUCAUACAUUGGUCAGGUUCUUAAUUCGUUCAUACAUACUCUCUGAUUUGAACUAGCACAUAACAAUGUUGCUUAUUGUCUACAGCUAAUGCCAUGUCUCUCUAGAAUGCAAUAUACUAAUAACUUUUAUCCCAAAAUUUCCAGCGCCAGUUGGCCGCGCUGCAAGGUACGCUAAAGAUAUCUGAAGGAUUGAUUGGCACUGUCAGUGUCUAGAAGCAAAGUGCCAUUGUUAUCAUCACUGUUUUUUAGGAUAUAGACUCUAUGCCUCUCAAUCCAUUGGGCUUCUGUGAGUGCCGAAGUGUUUCAUGAUGAAUGGUACAUAUAAUCUUGUGACGUUUUUGUAUAUGAACUUCAGGUCCCAUUUAUUUGAACACGUGUCUGGUAUUAUGGGUUUCAGGGAACGACCUAUGAUCUUGGAAUUGUCCAUUCGAUGCUAUGAAGGUAACAGGUGCUCAAUUGGAGGAGCCCCCCCCCCCAAGUGUAUGAAGCAUGCAAAGAGGACAGUUCUGAGCGCAGACGAUGUUGAUAGUGCUCAGGAAUGUUAAGCCUGUAUACGGAUUUGCUUCUGGUGACCCCUUGCGGUUUAAAAGAGCUGUGUGCCAUAAUGAUCUCUUCUAUAUCGAUGACAGGGAGGUCGAUUUCAAAGAGGCAAGGAUAUUAUUGAUAAAUGAAUCAGAUAAAUUUACACUUUCUUUAUUUUGAUAAUGAAUUGGACAUAUGUCUGCCGCAUACAUAUUACUGAAGCUCCUCUACCCAAACUCUCGACACAGCAUUUGUAUCUCACUGGCUAACUAUUGAGGGCGUCCUCCAGCCUGCAAUUCUAGAUAAUCCUCCUAUCGAUGGAGGUGUAUUGGAUUUAUAGAUAGAAACACAAUCUGAAGCAGGAGGCUGCAAUGGAACUUUUUACCAUGUUUGUUAGGUAAAUCUUGGGGCGAGCAGUGGAUGGCUGAUGGCGUGGAUGGCCACGACGGAGUACUUGGUCAGCGGAUUACAUGGAGUGGAGUCGAUGAAGGGAGCUGUAGCAGAUCAAGGCGAAGAGUUAGAGAGAUAGGUUAAGAGAUAGGUUAAGAGGAAGAAAUUGUACCGUUAACGCAAAUUGUGAUGGGAUAGACGGUAUCAGCCAAUAAAUUGUUUACGCGGGGCAAACAUUUGCAAUAGUUUCUCGUUCCGUGGUAGCAGUGGUAUCAGUUAAGAGGCUCAAAAUCUCGAACCAAACUUUUUCUAUUUUGCCACUCACAAUAAGCAUAAACAUUCUUCUUGGAAUUAGUAAUUAUCCUUUUAUGUUUCUUUAA